GUUGACCUCGGAUCAGGUAGGGAUACCCGCUGAACUUAAGCAUAUCAAUAGG
rnacentral:rRNA from 1 species